UCGAGCGGUAGCACAAAGAGCUUGCUCUCGGGUGACGAGCGGCGGACGGGUGAGUAAUGUCUGGGAAACUGCCUGAUGGAGGGGGAUAACUACUGGAAACGGUAGCUAAUACCGCAUAACGUCGCAAGACCAAAGUGGGGGACCUUCGGGCCUCAUGCCAUCAGAUGUGCCCAGAUGGGAUUAGCUAGUAGGUGGGGUAACGGCUCACCUAGGCGACGAUCCCUAGCUGGUCUGAGAGGAUGACCAGCCACACUGGAACUGAGACACGGUCCAGACUCCUACGGGAGGCAGCAGUGGGGAAUAUUGCACCAAUUGGGCGCCAAACCCUUGAUGCAACCCAUGCCGCGGUGUGGGAAAGAAGGCCUUUCGGGGUUGUAAAAGCAAAUUUCAGCGGGGGAGGAAGGCGGUGAAGGUUUAAUAACCUUCAUCCGAUUGACGUUACCCGGCAGGAAGAAGCCACCGGCUUAAAUUCCGUGCCCAGCAGCCCGCGGUAAUUACGGAGGGGUGCAAAGCGUUAAUCGGAAAUUACUGGGGCGUAAAGCGCACGCAGGGCGGUCUGUCAAGUCGGGAUGUGAAAUCCCCGGGGCUCAACCUUGGGAACUGCAUUCGAAACUGGCAGGCUAGAGUCUUGUAGAGGGGGGUAGAAUUCCAGGUGUAGCGGUGAAAUGCGUAGAGAUCUGGAGGAAUACCGGUGGCGAAAGCGGGCCCCUGGACAAAGACUGACGCUCAGGUGCGAAAGCGUGGGGAGCAAACAGGAUUAGAUACCCUGGUAGUCCACGCCGUAAACGAUGUCGAUUUGGAGGUUGUGCCCUUGAGGCGUGGCUUCCGGAGCUAACGCGUUAAAUCGACCGCCUGGGGAGUACGGCCGCAAGGUUAAAACUCAAAUGAAUUGACGGGGGCCCGCACAAGCGGUGGAGCAUGUGGUUUAAUUCGAUGC
rnacentral:rRNA from 1 species